rnacentral:tRNA from 1 species
AGAAAGUUAGUCUAACUAAGACAGUUGAUUUCGACUCAACAAACCAUAGCCCGACUCUAUGACUUUCUC